rnacentral:rRNA from 1 species
AUGGCAGGUACANAGGGGUGCUACCGGGUGACCGGAUGCCGAUCUCGAAAACCUGUCCCAGUUCGGACUGGAGUCUGCAACCCGACUCCACGAAGUUGGAUUCGCUAGUAAUCGCGCAUCAGCCAUGGCGCGGUGAAUACGUUCCCGGGCCUUGUACACACCGCCCGUCAAGCCAUGGGAGCCGGGGGCGCCUGAAGUCCGGGACCGCGAGGACCGGCCUAGGGCGAAACUGGUGACUGGGGCUAAGUCGUAACAAGGUACC